AAUAUUGGACAAUGGGGGCAACCCUGAUCCAGCCAUGCCGCGUGUGUGAAGAAGGUCUUCGGAUUGUAAAGCCCUUUAAGUUGGGAGGAAGGGCUUUAGGUUAACCCCCUGAAGUUUUGACGUUACCCACAGAAUAAGCACCGCCUAACUCUGUGCCACCAGCCCCGGUAAUACAGAGGGUGCAAGCGUUAAUCGGAAUUACUGCGCGUAAAGCGCGCGUAGGUGGUUCAGUAAGAUGGGUGUGAAAUCCCCGGGCUUAACCUGGGAACUGCUUUCAUAACUGCUGAGCUAGAGUACGGUAGAGGGUAGUGGAAUUUCCUGUGUAGCGGUGAAAUGCGUAGAUAUAGGAAGGAACACCAGUGGCGAAGGCGACUACCUGGACUGAUACUGACACUGAGGUGCGAAAGCGUGGGGAGCAAAC
rnacentral:rRNA from 1 species